rnacentral:lncRNA from 1 species
GUUAUUUCCUAAGUUUAAGAAGGGCCCUACAGGAAACAAAACAAAUAAUAAAAAAUCUAUUCACAUACAUAUAUUUCCUUAUGUUUAGAAAUUCCUUUCAAGGAUACUAUUACCUAUGGCUAGAAAGAUCUAAGAUGAGCUUUUAGAGGAGGCUGAAGCUAAGCAUGUCCAGGACCUUAAGUUUUUACUUAAUGAAGUUUUAAGAAAUUAGUUCUUCAAAAACAAGUACAUAAUUAUAUUAUUGUAAAUCUACAGGAAAGAAACCAAUUAAUAGGAAAUACAAAUUACAACCUUUUAGCCAUAUGUAGAAAAGUACCUAAAAAUUCAGAGCCUUUAAAAAUGACUAAGACCACCCACAGGCAGUAACACAUAGCCCUUUAUCAAUGGCUGCUCAACUGGAAGGGAUUACAACUAGUCUAUAGUUUGCUUCUGGCGCAGGAUACAUUUAGUCUUUAGCUGUUCCAGCUCAUGCAUUUUCUGGCAGUAUUUCAGUGUUCCUCUCAACAUUAUACUAUGUAUCAGUCAUGAACAAUCAACCAAAACAGGAAGAUUCUAGGCAACUUUCAAAGGAUUAUUUACUAUU